AAGUCGUAACAAGGUUUCCGUAGGUGAACCUGCGGAAGGAUCAUUAUUGAAUAAACUUGGUUAGGUUGCUGCUGGCUCUUAGGAGCAUGUGCACGCCGACUCCAUCUUUAACCACCUGUGCACCUUGCGUAGGUAUGAAUAUUUCGAGGAAACUCGGUUUGAGAAUUGCUGUGCCCAACAGCCAGCUCUUCUUGUAUUCACGUCUACGUUUCUAUAUACCCCAUAUGAAUGUAUUCGAAUGUUGCAAUUGGCCUUGUGCCUUUAAAACAAAUACAACUUUCAACAACGGAUCUCUUGGCUCUCGCAUCGAUGAAGAACGCAGCGAAAUGCGAUAAGUAAUGUGAAUUGCAGAAUUCAGUGAAUCAUCGAAUCUUUGAACGCACCUUGCGCUCCUUGGUAUUCCGAGGAGCAUGCCUGUUUGAGUGUCAUGAAAUUCUCAACCUUUCUAGUUUUUUGGCUAGUCAGGCUUGGACUUUGGAAGUUGCUGGCUCAACCCGAAUCAGCUCUUCUUAAAUACAUUAGCAAAGACAUUUGCUGACCAUCUUUGGUAUGAUAAUUAUCUAUAUCAUUGAUAACCAGCUCCCUUCACGGGGAGGUCUUGCUUCUAGCAGUCUUUAUAAGACAAUUUGACAACUUUGACCUCAAAUCAGGUAGGACUACCCGCUGAACUUAA
rnacentral:rRNA from 1 species